GACGAACGCUGGCGGCGUGCCUAACACAUGCAAGUCGAACGGAGUUAAGUCUUCGGAUUUAACUUAGUGGCGAACGGGUGAGUAACGCGUGGGGAACUUACCUUUCAGUGGGGGACAACAGGUGGAAACGACCGCUAAUACUGCAUAACGUCAUUUGGGGGCAUCCCUGAGUGACCAAAGAUUCAUUGCUGAACGAUGGCCUCGCGUCUGAUUAGAUAGUUGGUGGGGUAACGGCCUACCAAGUCGACGACCAGUAGCCGGACUGAGAGGUUGAACGGCCACAUUGGGACUGAGAUACGGCCCAGACUCCUACGGGAGGCAGCAGUGGGGAAUAUUGGGCAAUGGGGGAAACCCUGACCCAGCAACGCCGCGUGAAGGAAGAAGGCCUUCGGGUUGUAAACUUCUUUUAGCAGGGACGAACACAAUGACGGUACCUGCAGAAAAAGCAACGGCUAACUACGUGCCAGCCGCCGCGGUAAAAC
rnacentral:rRNA from 1 species